rnacentral:rRNA from 1 species
UGGGGAAUUUUGGACAAUGGGCGAAAGCCUGAUCCAGCAAUGCCGCGUGUGCGAAGAAGGCCUUCGGGUUGUAAAGCACUUUUGUCCGGAAAGAAAUCCUUGGCUCUAAUACAGUCGGGGGAUGACGGUACCGGAAGAAUAAGCACCGGCUAACUACGUGCCAGCAGCCGCGGUAAUACGUAGGGUACAAGCGUUAAUCGGAAUUACUGGGCGUAAAGCGUGCGCAGGCGGUUUGCUAAGACCGAUGUGAAAUCCCCGGGCUCAACCUGGGAACUGCAUUGGUGACUGGCAGGCUAGAGUAUGGCAGAGGGGGGUAGAAUUCCACGUGUAGCAGUGAAAUGCGUAGAGAUGUGGAGGAAUACCGAUGGCGAAGGCAGCCCCCUGGGCCAAUACUGACGCUCAUGCACGAAAGCGUGGGGAGCAAACAGGAUUAGAUACCCUGGUAGUCCACGCCCUAAACGAUGUCAACUAGUUGUUGGGGAUUCAUUUCCUUAGUAACGUAGCUAACGCGUGAAGUUGACCGCCUGGGGAGUACGGUCGCAAGAUUAAAACUUAAAUGAAUUGAC